ensembl:lncRNA
UUUAAACAUAUGUUUCUGUUGUUACAGCUUCUUGAGAGAUGACUCAGUAUGCAAAUUAGCUGGAGUGUGUGUGUGACUGUGACUUUCAGGAAGAGGAAGCAUAGCAGAGACGAGAAGUGCAGAUUGGGGUAGGAAAUUUAUAGUUUAGUGAUUAUAUGAUGUCGUAAGGGGGUUUUAUGCUGAAUUGAAGUAUGUUAUAGAGCAUAAGGGGGUGAUUUUUGUGUGCAAAUUGAGUGGUUUUAAUGAGACUUUUGGUGUAUUGAGGAGGUGAAAUUAUGUGGUGGCAAGAUUUGUGUGUUUAAGGUUGUUGUGGUGAUGGGUUGAUUCUGUCAGGUAGGUUGUUGUUGUUAUUUUUGUUUUUAAUAGAGGGAGUUUUAGGAAACAUGGACAUGUCUAAAAUUGGGCCCAUUAUUUUGUAACAGUGCACUUAAAGAAAACCUGUCAGGUGAUUUUGUUUUGUUUUUAUGAGCUAACAAUCAGCUCUAUUUUUUUUUUCAUUUCUGUUUUAAGCAGGCCUGCAACAGUGAAUAACGGCGCUGAAAGUUCUCGGGAGGAGCAAAUAUAAGGGGGCUUUCCAGAUUACAAUUGGCUGAGGAGAGCUACCUGUGGGGACUGAUCAAGGUCGUAAGUCCCUGUAAAAAGGAUUUUAUGCGAGUCAAUCCAGUCCAAAAGCAUAAAGAAAUAUUUCCCUAUGGAAAAUAAAAAUGACUGAGCUCAUUUUGCUGAGGGUGGAGUAUCUGAUCGUGCGGGAAGCUCCACUAUCAGCAAAUAUAUGGUGUGACUGCAUGUGAGUGAAUGUGAGGGUGAAUAAAUGUGGACAAACAAUUUGUUUUUACCAGAGAAAAUUUCUGUUUUGUUUUAUUAGGUGGGGUUAGAUUAUGAGAUUAUAGUAUAUUGUUGGGAGAAUGCCAAAUGCUAAAGGGGAAAUAUUUUUUGAUGUAACUCAGUUACCAUUAAUUGUAGAAACACAUGACUGAUAACUGUUCUGUUUUAAGUUUAUUUUUAUGACAUAGAUUGGAUCAUGAGUGGGGAAAACUGAGCAGUUUUAAGUUUUGUAUAGUAUCUUGACACAUGAAAUGUAUCAAGAUAAAGGGGGGUUUAGGGUUUAAUAAUUUAAUUGCUUAAUAAUUUAGGAUCAUUUUAGGACCUUUUGGGUUUUUGAUCAUUUGGAUAUGGUAAAACUGAAACUGGUAUUUUUAAGUUAAGGUUAAAGGAUUAAAAGUGAACUUGUCACGGUUUGCGAGGCAAGCCGUGUGGAGUUGUAGAAAAGGACCCAAAAGGCGGCAGCUCUGGUGCAGGUGAAUAUUUAUUUACAACGGUGGGCACAAAACAGCACUGGUGGAAAAACAAGAAACCGGAAAACUGGGUAAGCUAAUAACACAAACCAGAAACGAGGAUGCAGGGAGACCGAGGGGAAACAAUAUAGACGAACCAGGAACUACAAUAUCAGAAGACACAACUUAAAUACACCCAGAGCACGGGGAGAACACAGACAUAACAGGCUGGGGGAAACAUGGAAUAAACACAAAGAGAGACGAGAGCUCAUAAAUAGACAGAGGGGCACAAGGGGGUAAGAGUCACAAAGGGAAAAAACACUUAGGGAACACCACAACAGGACACCUCAGAAAACCUGGCCUAAAUAAGGAGCGAAAAUACAAGGAACCAAGAAUGCUGGGCCAACAUGGCCCAGGACCAUGAAUCCUGUUUAGAAGAUACAAUGCCAGUUUUUCAAAGCUGUGAAUAAAUCUUAGAGGGAAAAUUAGUGAGGGUUGAAGGGGUAGAACAGGUUUGAUUUUUUGAUCUUUAGAAGAAGUGGUUAUAAUGUAGGCUUACACAUACAGAUAUUACAUAGGAGGUAUUUUUAGGAUAAAAGGGGGAG